rnacentral:rRNA from 1 species
AGGCUUUGAUCCUGGCUCAGGAUGAACGCUAGCGGCAGGCUUAAUACAUGCAAGUCGAGGGGCAGCAUAAAGGUAGUAAUACUUGGGUGGCGACCGGCAAACGGGUGCGGAACACGUACACAACCUUCCUUUCGGUGGGGGAUAGCCUUUGGAAACGAAGAUUAAUACCCCAUAACACAGGGGCACUGCAUGGUGAUAUUGUUAAAGAUUUAUCGCCGGAAGAUGGGUGUGCGGCUGAUUAGGUAGUUGGCGGGGUAACGGCCCACCAAGCCGACGAUCAGUAACUGGUGUGAGAGCACGACCAGUCACACGGGCACUGAGACACGGGCCCGACUCGAUACGGGAGGCAGCAGUAAGGAAUAUUGGUCAAUGGACGGAAGUCUGAACCAGCCAUGCCGCGUGGAGGAUGAAGGUCCUCUGGAUUGUAAACUUCUUUUAUAGGGGGCGAAAAAAGGGAAUUCUUUCUACGUCUGACGGUACCCUUAUGAAUAAGCACCGGCGUAACAU